ensembl:lncRNA
AUCUCAUCUGGAGAUCCCUGCCUGCUUGAAGUCUUCUGAAGAAGCUUGGAAAAUUAGCACAAGAUGCUCUUGAAAGUCCUGUAACACAUUGCUGUCUACAGAACAGCAGACAGACUGCUUGUCCAGACUGCCAAAGGAGCAUAGAAAGUGGAAAAUGAAGGAAAGCAGAGCCCUCGCUACUGUAUUCAGAGAUCUUCUACCCCCAGCUACCCUACUGAAUCUCUUUUUGGACACGUCCCAGAAGUAAUGCAGUCUAGGAGAGAGGGAGAAAAUACACUCUGAGCUCUAUUUUUAGUGGCUGUGUAAGCCUGAGAUGUGGCUCCACCCUUGCCACCCAUCCAUCCUCAGCCAAAAAAGGCCCUGGAAGAACUCCUGAAGUUGUGGUGAAUACCCUGUGCCACGCAGCCCUGAAUGCUGGGGUGUUCUCCUUUGGUGUCUGGAUAUGUAAAGGGUUUCACCAUGUGAGGUCUCAGGGAAGGGAGGCAGGACAACUCGUCCUGCUGCACAACACCCCUGAGUGUUGGGAAUCUGUUCCCUUAGAGAAAUAGUCAUUAAUCCAGUGACAUUGCAACUGGAAACAGAGGCAAUUUCUCUUCCUGUUCUUCAGCACUGUUUCUCUUCUGUAAUUUCACUGAUUAUAGGAAACAUUUCAGUGAGACAGGAUAUUUGCUCCUCUUGCUUCAUUAUCACCAUCUGGAUUUGCUGCUCGUUCCAUAUGCUCCCAGCUGAUGUUAGCCAUCCAAUGCAGUGUCACUACCAGUGUGCAGCUGGCAUUCCUGGCACUACUAAGGGAAGGAGAUGGUGGUACAGGGAAGAUAAAGGCAGGUCAGAAGCAGACUGGUGUCAUUCUGCAUUCUUAUGCCACUGCUCCAUCACGCAUCAGCCCCACGUUUCAAUAUCCAGCUUUUCUCUAAUUGUCCCCAGACCACAUAGUUGGCUUUGGUACCUCAUCUCCAGAAUUACACCCAUGUGAGGAGAGACCAGGACCCUGGGAGGUCUGUGGGUUACACCAAAUGUUAGCAAUUCAACUUCUGCUUCCUUUCCCAAGAGUAAUUUCCUUUAAGAUGGGUUUUUUUUUCUGGGAUGUCCUGGGUUGGUUAUUCCCCCCUCACAUCUGGGUGGGAAGCAGUGGGCCAGCAACCUGCCUGCUGAGCAGCUGC